rnacentral:tRNA from 2 species
GGGGGAAUUCCCGAGUGGCCAAAGGGGGCAGACUGUAAAUCUGUUGUUCUUUAACUUCGAUGGUUCGAAUCCAUCUUCCCCCACCA